rnacentral:rRNA from 1 species
GUGUUGAGGAAGAUAAUGACGGUACUCAACAAGGAAGUGACGGCUAACUACGUGCCAGCAGCCGCGGUAAAACGUAGGUCACAAGCGUUGUCCGGAAUUACUGGGUGUAAAGGGAGCGCAGGCGGGAAGACAAGUUGGAAGUGAAAUCCAUGGGCUCAACCCAUGAACUGCUUUCAAAACUGUUUUUCUUGAGUAGUGCAGAGGUAGGCGGAAUUCCCGGUGUAGCGGUGGAAUGCGUAGAUAUCGGGAGGAACACCAGUGGCGAAGGCGGCCUACUGGGCACCAACUGACGCUGAGGCUCGAAAGUGUGGGUAGCAAACAGGAUUAGAUACCCUGGUAGUCCACACUGUAAACGAUGAUUACUAGGUGUUGGAGGAUUGACCCCUUCAGUGCCGCAGUUAACACAAUAAGUAAUCCACCUGGGGAGUACGACCGCAAGGUUGAAACUCAAAGGAAUUGACGGGGGCCCGCACAAGCAGUGGAGUAUGUGGUUUAAUUCGACGCAACGCGAAGAACCUUACCAAGUCUUGACAUCCUGCGACGRUGCUGGAAACAGUAUUUUCCUUCGGGACGCAGAGACAGGUGGUGCAUGGUUGUCGUCAGCUCGUGUCGUGAGAUGUUGGGUUAAGUCCCGCAACGAGCGCAACCCUUAUGGUCAGUUACUACGCAAGAGGACUCUGGCCAGACUGCCGUUGACAAA